GGUGAGUAACACGUGGAUAACCUACCUAUAAGACUGGGAUAACUUCGGGAAACCGGAGCUAAUACCGGAUAAUAUAUUGAACCGCAUGGUUCAAUAGUGAAAGACGGUUUUGCUGUCACUUAUAGAUGGAUCCGCGCCGCAUUAGCUAGUUGGUAAGGUAACGGCUUACCAAGGCAACGAUGCGUAGCCGACCUGAGAGGGUGAUCGGCCACACUGGAACUGAGACACGGUCCAGACUCCUACGGGAGGCAGCAGCC
rnacentral:rRNA from 1 species